GACCCGACGCCGCCGGAACUGCCCGCGGCCUAGUUCCGACUCGCGCGUACCUGUGAGCCGGACCCCGGGACAGUGGCGGCGGCGGCCGGGCCUGCAGGGACCCGACUGGACCGCUGCCAUGGGAGAGUGACGCGUCUGCGCCCGCUGUUCCGCAGCAGCGGACAGACAUGAGGAGAUCCCGCGGCGGCGGCAGCGGCGGCGGCUCCUGAGCCCCGGUAUGGAGGAGAAAUACGGCGGGGACGUGCUAGCCGGCCCCGGAGGCGGCGGCGGCGGCCUCGGGCCGGUAGACGUGCCCAGCGCUCGAUUAACAAAAUACAUUGUGUUACUAUGUUUUACUAAAUUUUUUAAGGCUGUGGGACUUUUUGAAUCAUAUGAUCUCCUAAAAGCAGUUCACAUUGUUCAGUUCAUUUUUAUAUUAAAACUUGGGACUGCAUUUUUUAUGGUUUUGUUUCAAAAGCCAUUUUCUUCUGGGAAAACUAUUACCAAACACCAGUGGAUCAAAAUAUUUAAACAUGCAGUUGCUGGGUGUAUCAUUUCACUCUUGUGGUUUUUUGGCCUUACUCUUUGUGGACCACUAAGGACUUUGCUGCUAUUUGAACACAGUGAUAUUGUUGUCAUCUCACUACUAAGUGUUUUGUUCACUAGUUCUGGAGGAGGACCAGCAAAGACAAGAGGGGCUGCUUUUUUCAUUAUUGCUGUGAUCUGUUUAUUGCUUUUCGACAAUGAUGAUCUCAUGGCUAAAAUGGCUGAACACCCUGAAGGACAUCAUGACAGUGCUCUAACUCACAUGCUUUACACAGCCAUUGCCUUCUUAGGUGUGGCAGAUCACAAGGCUGGAGUAUUGUUGCUAGUACUGGCUUUGUGUUGUAAAGUUGGUUUUCAUACAGCUUCCAGAAAGCUCUCUAUAGAUGUCGGUGGAGCCAAACGUCUUCAGGCUUUAUCUCAUCUUGUUUCUGUGCUUCUCUUGUGCCCAUGGGUCAUUGUUCUUUCUGUGACAACUGAGAGUAAAGUUGAGUCUUGGUUUUCUCUCAUUAUGCCUUUCACAACGGUUAUCUUUUUCGUCAUGAUCUUGGAUUUCUAUGUGGAUUCUACUUGUUCAGUCAAAAUGGAUGUUUCCAAAUGUGCCCGCUAUGGAUCCUUUCCCAUUUUUAUUAGUGCUCUCCUUUUUGGAAAUUUUUGGACACAUCCAAUAACAGACCAGCUUCGGGCUAUGAACAAAGCAGCACACCAGGAGAGUACUGAACACGUCCUGUCUGGAGGAGUGGUAGUGAGUGCUAUAUUCUUCAUUUUGUCUGCCAACAUCUUAUCAUCUCCCUCUAAGAGAGGACAGAAAGGUACCCUUAUUGGAUAUUCUCCUGAAGGAACACCUCUUUAUAACUUCAUGGGUGAUGCUUUUCAGCAUAGCUCUCAAUCAAUCCCUAGGUUUAUUAAGGAAUCACUAAAACAAAUUCUUGAGGAGAAUGAUUCUAGGCAGAUCUUUUACUUCUUGUGCUUGAAUCUGCUUUUUACCUUUGUGGAAUUAUUCUAUGGCGUGUUGACCAAUAGUCUGGGUCUGAUCUCAGAUGGAUUUCACAUGCUCUUUGACUGCUCUGCUUUGGUCAUGGGACUUUUUGCUGCCCUGAUGAGUAGAUGGAAAGCCACUCGGAUUUUCUCCUAUGGGUAUGGCCGAAUAGAAAUUCUCUCUGGAUUUAUUAAUGGACUUUUUCUAAUAGUAAUAGCUUUUUUUGUGUUUAUGGAGUCAGUGGCUAGAUUGAUUGAUCCUCCGGAAUUAGACACACAAAUGUUAACACCAGUCUCAGUUGGAGGGCUGAUAGUAAACCUUAUUGGUAUCUGUGCCUUUAGCCAUGCCCAUAACCAUACCCAUGGAGCUUCUCAAGGAAGCUGUCACUCAUCUGAUCACAGCCAUUCACACCAUAUGCAUGGACACAGUGACCAUGGGCACGGUCAUAGCCACGGAUCCACAAGCGGAGUCAUGAAUGCUAACAUGAGGGGUGUAUUUCUACAUGUUUUGGCAGACACACUUGGCAGUAUUGGUGUGAUCGUAUCCACAAUUCUUAUAGAGCAGUUUGGAUGGUUCAUUGCUGAUCCCCUCUGUUCUCUUUUUAUUGCUAUAUUAAUAUUUCUCAGUGUUAUUCCACUGAUUAAAGAUGCCUGUCAGGUUCUGCUUCUGAGACUGCCACCAGAUUAUGAAAAAGAACUACAUAUUGCUUUAGAAAAGAUACAGAAAAUUGAAGGAUUAAUAUCAUAUCGAGACCCUCAUUUCUGGCGUCAUUCUGCCAGUGUUGUGGCAGGAACAAUUCAUAUACAGGUGACAUCCGAUGUGAUGGAACAAAGAAUAGUACAGCAGGUUACAGGAAUACUUAAAGAUGCUGGCGUAAACAAUUUAACAAUUCAAGUGGAAAAAGAGGCAUACUUUCAACAUAUGUCUGGACUAAGUACUGGAUUCCAUGAUGUCCUGGCUAUGACAAAACAAAUGGAGUCCAUGAAAUUCUGCAAAGAUGGUACUUACAUCAUGUGAGCAUAACUCAGGAAUUACCCCUGGGGUAUGAACAAUGAAGAUUAAAUGACUCAGUAUUUGUGAUAUUGCCAGAAGGACAAAAAUUGCACAUAAUUGUACAGAAACUUUUGAAGCUCCCUACUAUUGGAUCAAGGAAUCUUUCUUAAAAGAAAUUUAAAUACAGAAUGAAGCAUUAAUUGUGAAAGACUCAGGAGAUUGCACUGGGCCCACCCAGGUAAUCCAGGAUAUUCUCCUCAUCUCAAGGUCUUCAAAGACCCUUUUGCCAUGCGUCCUGCCUCACUUGGGUUCAAUUGAUUUGCUAGAGCGACUCACAGAACUAAGUGAAACACCUAUGUUUACCAAUCUAUUUCCAAGGAUACCAAUGAAGACAUGCAUAGGGUGAGUGAGGUAUAUGGGAAGGAGCAAGGACCUUCCAUUCCCUCCCCAGGUGACCACCUUCCAGGAACCUCCACGUGUUCAGCUACCUGCAAGUUCCCUAAACCCAGCCCUUUGGGGUUUUUAUGGAGGCUUCAUUACGUAGGCAUGACUUGAUUAAAUCAUUAGCCGUUGGUGAUGAACUUAACCUUCAGACCUUCUCCCCUCCCCAGAAGUUGUGGGGUGGGCCUGAAAGUCCCAACCCUCUAACAUCUUUAGUCUUUCCUGUGACCAGCCCCCAUCCUGAAGCUACCUAGGGGCUGCCAGCCACCAAUCGGCUCAUUAGCAUAAAAAGACGCCAUUUUGGAGAUUCCAAGGAUUUUAGGAGUCGUAUGCCAGUUAAAGGGGACGAAGACAAGCCCCUGAAAAACACAGCACAUGUUUGAACUGCACAGGUCCACU